CAUCAGUCACCCCAAAGCCUGACUCAUCUCAAACACCUUGAUUUUCUCUACUGUAUACCCCACACCUCACCAUGAAUGGAGAGUUGCUGUGGUUGAUUUCACUCCUGAGUUACCAUUUCUACAGAUUUCACCAACAAGAACAUGAGUGAUUGUUUCAGUAUUGACCUAAACUUUGACUCUUGGGGUUGAGACAGUUUUCUCAAUGAACUGAGUUUGAACCCUGGUGGCAAGGUGGGUGCCAGGUGGUGUUGAUGGUAGGACAACCCAGAGCUGUGAUGACUCCCCAAGAGCACGGCCUAUGAAACCUCAUGGACUUGGCAUGUUGUUGAUGGAACAUCCAAAGCAUUGCAUGAGAUUCUCAACCAUAAGGGAUGGUCAAAAUUAGUGUCACAUAAGAAGGUACAAUCAAUUUUCACAGUCACUUCACUUUUAAGGAGGUAGAGUCAGAUGUCCUGGAAAAUAAGAGAAAACUAAGAGAAAAUGAAAAUGAAAGCCAAAAUGGAUCUCUUUGUGAAAUAUGUUCAGAGCAUUAGAGAGUAGAGUAAAAUGGUAAUUCACAGAACUCCUCACCCAUGAAAUGAAUAUCUUGUGAGCAGGUUAGUCUUUUUCCAUCUAUUGAGUCAGAAUCUGGGUGAGUCACACACUUCAGGUGACAGAUGCCAAAACACCCUCAAAAUUAACCAAAGGGUGCUGCUUAGCCUUGCAAAGCAAAUACAAAUAUUCAAACAAACAUCUCUCCAAAAGGCACCUCUCCACUUUCCGCUAACUAACCGUCUGUGCUAUGUCUUUACCUAGAGCCCCGUGCUUGGGAUGGGAACAGACGUGUUCCUGCGCAGCCCUAUUAUUUUCUUGUCAGAAGCCUGAUUAGAGUGAUGGAGAGGUUUAUAAUGUGUCCUGUUUUCCCCUGUAAAAAACACAUUUCUCCUAAAGCCAUUUAAUAUUUCAUUGCCAGAAUAUCCAGUGAUAUAAAAAUUCUGAAACCCUUUAUUUUCUGUUGUAUAGGUAAGAAAAAGAAAACAUCAAUUUACAGUUUACAUGUAAAUCCCACAGAUAGCACUUAAAAUCAAGUAGUAGAUAACAUAACCUGGCAGCCAUCAUAAUGCUCAGCAUUUUAUAAUUCAAAAAACAUAACAAUCAGGUUAAACAAAUAGUAUUUUUUAUUAAAUGUCACUCAAUCCCAGGGCUGAGAAUUCAUUUGUGUUUUCCUCCUAGACUCAAUCACCACAAUUGCAAUCAAAAGACGGCUUUAGUUGGAACCUGGAACGUGCUAAUCCUGUCAGGCAGCCUGUGAUUCUGGAAGUGAAGGAACAAAAAAAAAAAAAAAAAGGGAAAAUUUCACAUAAAAUUUCCAUAUGAGGAAGAAGAUGGAAACUUUUGUGUUGUGCGUUCAGUAAAACGGGCACUUUCUUAAGCAGGUGGCAAAGAAAGCCUGAGAAUCCGGCCUGACUUUUUCAUUUCAGAACCCUGCAUUUCCCACACAGAGGAGAUAGAGCACAGCCAUUGCAUGGUAGAUCCAGCUUGCUCUCACAGCCAUUGUGCAAAUAAACAUACAUGUGGCAAGGCAGUGCAGUUUUCAGUUGUUAAAAGUUCUGUCAUGCCACGAGAUGGAGCAAAGGAUAAACGCUGAUGUAAACAGGCAACAGGACUCUGACUCCACACCCCUGUCUGCACGGAGGAUGCUCAGUCCUUACACAACAAAAUGUGAGAUGCUUCCAGUCACCUCCUGGCCCUGACCCCUGAGCUCCGUGCUCACCCCACUGGAGGUCCUGGCAGUUCUCCGAGCAGGCUGUACCUGUCUGGGGUGAUCCUCUCCACUUAAUGUUAGACAUUAAGUUCCCUGUGAAAUCUGUUUUGACUCACUGAGGUUAUGAAUAUUUUAUCACAACUAUCAUCAUAUACUACCAAAUCUCCAAUUUUCUUAUCUCCAUUACUAGACUGUGAGCUCCCUGGAGGCUGGACCUGGGUUUGGCACCGAGUGGCACUCAUACAUACUUCUUGAAUAAGAGAAUGGCUUAGAUGCCUGCUGUGCUCACUCCUGCCGAGAGGCACGGCCACCAUCUGCAGCUCCUGGCUGCACUUUCUAAACAGCUGCCUGGGUCAGUUCUUUUGACUAAGAUAUAGCCGAGUUGUACAGUUUACAAAUGAAUGGAAAAUCAUCACCCUACCAAGUCUUAAAUGGUUAUGACUCCAUCACUCAAGAAACUUCAGGAAUCAACAUUUGGUGAUCUGAAAUACACUGAAGCGUCCACGUAGUGAUGUUUGUGUGUUAGAUUCUGCUCCAUUUUCCAAUGUCUUCCCCCAUUUUCAGUCAACUCUUCAUCUCUGCAGUGGUGGCUUUAAAACAUGUCUACAAAUGCCUUGACCGUCUUUCCAGUGGGAGGCAGAGUCUAACUCCCUGUCCCCCGAAUGUGGGCUGGCCUUUGGGAAGAAAAGAAUAAGGUUGAAGUGAUGCUGCCCAACUUCUAAACCCAGUUCCUAAAAGAAAACAGCAUUAAAACAAUCUGAUAUUAUGGCCGUCAAAAUGCUUAUCCAGGCAUUCUGCAAAAAGUGAAAAUGUCUAUAUACUUGUGGCCAAGAAAGAAAAGAAAACUAUCAGUUUCUGGCUGCUUGAGCAUAAAUCUGAAGUCACUGUGUAUCUAUGUAAACGUAAAAGCAAAAGAGGAGAUGUGUCAGACUCCGUGGCACCAGGCUGAUCACAGAAUAAAGUGAAGAAAUUCCCCCUGCACAGCUGAUGGUGCCUGUUGCUGAGACAAAUACAGAGA
rnacentral:lncRNA from 10 species